AUCAGCGGACAUUUCUUCAUAGAUUGGUAUGUGGAAGUUUAUUGAUACCGUUGUGACACCGUCGGAAAACAAGCAGGACUGGUUAUUAAUACGAAUCAAGGAUGAAAACAGACGUAAUAGAACUUAUCCUUUGCGUUGUAACACUUUUGCAUGUCAGUAGCAUCCAGUGCAUCUGCAUGAACAGCACUCAUUAUUAUAUGUCGGGUACUUCCAACACAGCAAUAGAAAAUCGAUGGUUCUCCAAUUGCACGGGUCUUAUUAGACAUAUCGUGGAGAACUCAUCAUUUGACACGUUAUGAUCUCAGCAAUAAUAAGAUUGCAUUCAUAGAGUCGGGAGCUUUUGUUAUAAUGACACGUCUCAAGUACUUCUACCUUGAUCACAACCAACUGAUUGAAAUUCCUAUGGACUUUUUUAAGAAUAAAAACUAUCUAAUACGUGUAGAUCUCUCUUACAACAAGAUCACAAAUAUUCCUCUACCAGUGUUUAACUACACUAUGUUGCAUAUUGAAGAGGUUAUCCUUCAUCAUAACCAGAUAAUAGCCUUCGAGCCUUGGGCCUACGUCAAGCAAGCUAUACGUCUGGACCUGCGUUACAACAAUGUAUCCACAUUUACUAACAACUAUAAUUGGACGUAUAUUUCAAGAACUGUGUAUGAAGGGGCAACUACAGAUUUGCGGAAUAAUACUAUCACAGAGUGGCAUGACUGGUACUUGAUACAAUAUAAAGACCCAGCUUCCCUUAAUGAUGGUAUUGAAUCAAUACUAGUAGAACUUGUUACCAGACAUUCGUGAAAACCCGUUUAGCUGUGAUUGCUAUGCUCAUAAUAUGAUUAAAAGAGUUAGACAGUCAUUUUUCUUGUGGGCUGAUAGCGAAGAUCUUGGUAUAACGUGUUACAAUCCUCCACAUUUACGUGGCAAGCGUGCAUUCUAUGACGUAUCCGUCUCUCAACUUAUUUGUAACAUUACGGAUAAUUGUCCAGCAGGAUGUCUGUGCCAAGAUCGACCUGAAGAUGCCAUUUUAAAAGUCGAUUGUCAGAGAUUGAAUAUGACAAGAAUACCGAAAACGCUUCCAAGAAGUUCAUACGAUAAAAUUAAUCUACAGCUUGGACACAAUGAAAUAACACAAUUUAGUAAUGUUAGUUACAUAAAAUACAUUACAAUCUUAUCAAUGCCUAACAAUAAGCUUACCAGUCUACCGAACUUUGUCAUAGAUAACAUAGCAAGAAAAGAAAAUACAAUUGAUUGACCUUCGUAACAAUUUACUCAAUAAUAUUCCGUCAGGCGCACAGAAUAUUAAGUUUCAACACACACAAUUCCAAGGAAAUAACCUCGUAUGUUCAUGUGAUAUGCUAUGGAUGGUAGACUGGAUAAAGCUGGCACCAAGAUACGCUGAUAAGACCCUUAAUUGCACAUUUGAAGGUGAAGUGUACAAAAUAAUUGAUCUGAAUGAAGGUAUCUUGAAAUGUAAUAACGUUGGGAGUAUUAUCCUGAUUGUAGUGCUGUCUUUGGUAUUAGGUAUUGUAAUUGCCUUGUUGAUAACGGCUAAACGAUACCCGUACGAGACGAAGGUACUUCUUUCAAAAUUUUCAAAAUUCAUCCCUCGGAUAGAUAUGAAGUAGACAAAAACUCGGAUAAAUCAUUUGACAUGUACGUCUCUUUUGAUGACAAUGAUACAUAUGUCAGGCAGUGGGUCAUGAAGGUACUCUUCAAGCAGCUCAAAGAGAAAAAGCCGUUUUACAGUUUGUGUGUAGCUGCACGAAAUGCACCACCUGGUCCUGAAGCGGACGCGAGACUUGAACUGAUUGAUAAAAGCAGACGACUAUUGAUCAUCCUGAGUACAGACUACGAUAACCACCCUUGGUGUCAGUACGAGUUAUGCCACUCAGAAACGUUAGAACAAAAUGAAGGACGAGUCAUGUAUCUAUUAUAUGAUACAAACGCUGAAAAAAUAGCGAAAAAAGAACCGUGGUCAUCUAAAAUGAAAGACAGAAAGGUGUUUGGUUUGACAGAGAAAAUGCUGUGGUCUAAGAUGAGAUACGAACUACCAAGAAAUGCCUUACCUGAACCUCUCAGGAGAAGGGAACGUCCGCAAGAGUUUGCAAAAGGAUGAACAUUUUGUAUACACGGCAACAUAUCUACAAAAAUAGUGCUUACCCAUUUAAGAAUAAUUUAAUGGCUGUAGUGGCUGUGCAUUCUGACAAGACAAAAUGUAGAGCAUACUAGUAGAAAAUAUUCAUUUAAUACGAAUGAUUGCAACAGAUAAUUCACUGAGAUAUUUUUAAAUUGCAAAGCUUUUAGUGCGUAAUUGGUGCAAUUAUAGUGGAGUAAUAAAUAGUUUUGGCGUGGCUGUACGUGAAUUCUGAGGUCUCGUGCUAGAAUCAAGAACUCAGAAUGCAGCAACAUAGUCAUGACAUAUUCUAGAUUUAUUACCGUUUUCAUAUUUUAAUACAGUAUGAAUGGAUGACAUUUAUUUUCAUUCUUUAACCUUAAAACUGAAUGUUAUCAAUGUCAAAUUACACUUUUCAGAAAGGACUUCAGGCUAAAAAAUCAACUGGACAACUUUGUGUUGAAAUAUUCUCAGAAUACAUGUUUCUUAGCUGUUGGUAUUAUCUUAUCUUUUUAAAUUCUUAAGCUGAGUUGUAAUAAAUCAAUGUUGGAAUAUCUAAUCCUGAAACGGACGUAAAAUUCUUGGAAGAGAUAAACCGAUGACGAACCUCAAGUUGGACACGUGGCCCUUGUAAGGCUUCUGAACGAUCCGCAUUUGUCGGACACCUCAACCUCUAAACAAUUUUAUAUCUAUUUUUUGUCUCGGUCUUUAUUUCUUCUUUAUUUCCCUUAUAAAGUAACGGAGAAAACUGUCUUUCGUCCGUAAUCCGACCCUUCAAUCUAUUAUAGAUACAUGUCGAAUAGUACGUUAAUUUGUAAACACAUAUUGUAUAGAUAUGUAUUCAUAAAUUUUCAUAUCUAACAAUAUAUUAUAUAAUGUUGUUAAGGUAUGUGCUAUGUGUAUUGAUCUUGAUUUUUAAGGAAACUACUUUGAUUAUAUAAUUCUUUCAAAAUUAAAUAUUGAAACUACAUUUAUAACAUGUGUGAUUUGUAUAUUCUUACCUUUGAAAAUCAAGUUACAGCGCCUAGGGUGAAAGUAAAAGAUUUUUUUAUACGUAAUAAAUGGACGACUUUCACCAUUUUC
rnacentral:lncRNA from 1 species